ensembl:lncRNA
UGAAGCUGCAAGUGCUCAGUCCAAGUUGGGCAAGUUGGUGUUUGUAACUUCUUUCUAUGAAAGUCUGAUAUGGGUUCUCUCCUAAACUUCUGUUAGAACGGUGGGAAACAUUGCUCCCGUGAGAACGGUAUAGUGGACUUCAUCGCCACUGACCCACAGUUAUUAGGGUGUGACACGAACUUGUGGACAGAGUACCGAGCUGCUGCUUUGCCAGGUGGAUUUCUGGUUGCGGGCAAAGGACCCGACACAUCAGUGUGUUUUAAUUUGUUUUAAACUGGUGUAAGUCGACGGUCCGACUGCUGCGGCUGUCGAUUGUUUUGUUUUUUUUGUUUUAUUUUUUCUAUAUCAGUAGGCACCACAAAUGUGCUGCAGGGAAAACAAAUCCUUUUUUUUCCUCACCGCUUCUGCAUGCACAGCGGUGGGCCUGAGUGAAGACGGCACUGAAGCUUUUGUUUUUCUCUAUAGUGUUUUGCCCAUCUGGGGUCGUGUGUCAGUUGCCGUCCCUUUUUAACCUGUGUGUUGUGUUGAUUUGUUCUUACACGGUUCCCCGCAGCGCUUGUCCUGUCUCACGGGCAAUCGUACAGUUUUAUCGUUUUUAUUAAACAAGGUAAAGUUUUUAAUUGUUGUUAAGUGCCGCUGUUACAUUGUUACUUUUAUUUUGUAUUAAAAAUUAAAUUCUUUU